rnacentral:rRNA from 1 species
GACAGAGGUGCCAAGCGUUAGGCGGAAUCACUGGGCUUAAAGCGUGUGUAGGCGGCCUGCUAAGUGCCUUGUGAAAUCCCACGGCUCAACCGUGGAAUUGCUGGGCAUACUGGUAGUGCUUGAGCCAUCUAGGGGCAACUGGAACAAACGGUGGAGCGGUGAAAUGCGUAGAUAUCGUUUGGAACGCCAAUGGUGAAAACAGGUUGCUGGGGAUGUGCUGACGCUGAGACACGAAAGCCAGGGGAGCAAACGGG